rnacentral:ncRNA from 2 species
GGCAUUUCCGUCCGUGAUGGUUCCCGUGCCGGCCAAGGCCCCGGCAGGGUGAAAAGGGAACGUGGUGAGGUGUAGCCAUCAGGCGCCGAAUCCGCGACUGCCCCCGCAACUGUAAGCGGUAGCCGACCCCAUGAUGCCACUGGCGCCCCCUGCGCCGGGAAGGCGGGGAAGGCCGCGACCCGCAAGUCAGGAGACCUGCCAUCAUGACCUGAACCAA